CUUCAGCGAGCCGAGCCACAGCGGCCGGUCCCCCGCGCGGUCCUGCCCGUACGUGGCCAGCAGCGCCUGGGCCUC
rnacentral:antisense_RNA from 1 species